AAAGGGAUGUGUGGUCCGCUGAGCUAUUAAAGGACUUGAACUUCCUGCUAUUUGUUUCAUGCUUUUGCUCAUGUCGAUUUCUUUCUCAUGGCAUGCUGUUUCAUGUUUUCCAAAUUCUGGUGUCAUGUUCAACCAGGAAUUACUGGCAGAUCUUAUUGGUAUCUCUUGGACCUGAAUAUGCGGAUUAAUUGGAUAGCCAUGUAAAUAUGUCUCUGCAUCAAGAUUUUCAUUAUGCCGCCCCAUAUCUGCUACAGUUUCUAUCUUCUGAUUCCCAAAGACGGGCAACUUUUCUGAAAUCCCAUUCCUCAUAAAGUGACUCUGAUAUUCCUGGAAUG
rnacentral:misc_RNA from 1 species